rnacentral:rRNA from 1 species
AGCAGCCGCGGUAAUUCCAGCUCCAAUAGCGUAUAUUAAAGUUGUUGCAGUUAAAAAGCUCGUAGUUGAAUUUCGAGAUCAGUACGCUGGUCGUGCCUUCGGUAUGCACUGGUGUCACUGGUUUCUCCCUUCUGAAGAACCGUCAUGCCAUUCAGUUGGUGUGGCGGGGAAUCAGGACUGUUACUUUGAAAAAA